GUGAGUACCGCGUGCUUUUCCCUUGGCUGUGCCCUCACCAUCGCAACCAGAACCUCAGAGCCCUCAGUGCCACAUAGCUGUGUCGGAGGUGUGCUGUCUCAUGGAAAACAUUUUGGAUCAGAGCUUUCAAAUUAAAGAUAGAAAAAGGAAUUUGCAGGCUCAGUGAAACUGCUCAGGUCUCCCCGCUGAGGCUGACUAUGUGUUCACCCUCCAGACUGCUUGGGAACGAAGGCAAAGAGAAGAACAUUGUCCCGCAAAGCCAUGUGCCUCGCUUGCAGUCUGGGAGCUGAGGCACAGCUUCUGACUUUGCUCUGCAGCCCCUGUGUCCCAACCACAACCCAGGACACUGAUCAACCUGAAGCUGCUGGUUUUCUUGUGAUGGGCUCCUGUAUGCGUUCCAAAUACUGUUGAGGCUGCUCUGUGGGUAUUUUUAGUGUGCAUCAGGUGCCAACGAGGAAAACAAAAGCCUCUUCUUCAUGAGCCCACGUCUGCAGUUAUUUCCAGUGCCUGUGUCCUCGUGUGCAUCCUGCAGCCCUUGGGGCUCCGACAGCAGGCACUGAGAAAAACCAAGCUUGGGAAAAAUCUAAAUACUUCCCAAGGAAGAACUUCAGGAAAUGCCCAUCAAACAGCUGAGCAGGGGAUUCCUGAGCAGGUUUCCUGUGCUUCUUUGAAAUGCUGAUAAAAAGCUUCGUGAGAUACCUGCACAGAGGAAUUUCCCAAACAGGGCACUGAAAGCUUCACACCACAAUGUAUGCGUGAUACUGGAGCUCCCACACGUGCUGGGUGUUUGGAUAGCGUUCUUAGACCUGCUGAAACCUGCGUAAUGUAGUAAUUAUGGGCUGCUAGCUGUUGAAAGGACUCGUGAAGCUACUCCAAGGGGCAGCUGUCACCUGGGUCCUUCAGAUCCCAGCUCAUGUUUGCCUCUGCACGUCCUCAGCAUGCAAACAGGGCUGAGGGAAAGCACCCUGCCUCCUCCUGUCCCUGGGUGCAGGGAUGGCAAUGGCCGGCAGCACUGACAUCUGCCUCCUGGUGUGACCCCAAGGAUGUGACUUUGGGACAGAAACAACAUGCAGCCAGGCACCCCUGAAAUGCAGCAGGGUCAUGGGAUCCAGCUCUGGCAUUAGUGUGCAGUCCUGAACAUCUGCACCAACAUUUGUGUGCCCAGCCAUCAUUGCAGCACCUGUAGCCAUCUGAGCUGGCGCUGGCUGAAGCAUGAAGCCAGGUGAAGGGGUGGGUUCUUUGGGACUGGCAAAAUAUCCCAUGUGCCUUUCAGUGUUUUCCUCUUUUUUUUUUUUUUUAAUUAUGCUUGGAGCCUCUUCUGAACAGUAAAACCUAAAAAAUAUUGGGGAAAAUCUUAAUGUGCCACUUUUGGAUCUGACAGUGUUUGUUUGUUUGCUUGUUUUUGAGGGUAGCAAUUUACAAAGUCCUGCUUUUGGGUCCUUCCUUCCCCACAUCUCUGCUGGGAACUGCCGGUGCCCCCAUCCCACCACGGGAGCCCUGGGCUGGGAACACAGCAGUGCCUGCUGCUGGGGAGGUAACGCCGCGAACCAGCCUGCGCAUCUUGCAGCCUCUACAAUAUUGCCAAACCUUGUAACACAGAACCAGAUCCCUUUCCAAACCAGCCCCUUGCAGCCCUUCCUUCCUCUCCAAACUGCACCAAUCUCCAGCCAGAGCGAGCCUUGGGUCUGCCCUGCUUCACCCACCUCGUCGCUUCUGUCCCUGCCUCGCAUCUCCCCGCAGCGGUGUUCGGACGCCUCGCCUCUCUCCCGCUGGCUGAGAGCAGCGUGGAUUUCCUUCCAGCGUGACGGUUGGGGUCACUCUUUCACAACGAGCGCUUUCCUCCCGGUACGAUCAGCUCAGCGUCGCGUCCCGCUGACGCCCAACCAGGAUUUCAAGCUUUUGGGACUGCCUUCCCUGGAAAAAAUUAGCGACAUGUUUGAUUUUAAAUAGCGGAAGCGUGCGGGAAUAAGCUUUUCUGUGUGGGUUCGGAAGUUUG
rnacentral:lncRNA from 7 species